rnacentral:lncRNA from 10 species
AGGAGCAUCUACGCGGGGGUCGUCGUAGGUGGGGGCCGCGCUAGCGGUGCGGGAGGCGGCAGAGGCAGGGGUAGCGCCACAGGUGGGCGGGUCCCUGCUAGUGGGGCCGCAUCGCAGGUGCGCGAGCCUCGCGGGUGGGCUGGAGGACUCUGGUUGGGGGCUCUAGAGAUGACGGGAGCGCCACAGGUGGGGCAGGGGCAGCGUCCGGAGGAGGGGAGACCGCAGGGGGCCGGGGUCACAUCGUUUGCGGGGCGCGCCAGGGCGGGGCGGGAUAGAACGCCGGGAGCAUCUCCCGGGGGGGCGAGGGAGACCGUGAGUGGGCGCGAGCGCCGGGGCGGGUGGAAACCCCGCAGUUGCGGGGAGCGCCGAUGGCGGGGAGGGGUGGAAUGGGGGCGCGGAGACCCCACCUGGACGCGGAGGCUCGCGGCAGGCCCGGCCGCUCGGGCCGUUGUGGGGGCCGAGCCCGGCCGCGCGCACAGCUUCUAGUGGCCCGCAAGAUUCCUCCUGGGGCGGCGCUGGGAGCCUCGGGGCUCGGCUUCCUCGACCCCCGCCCCCAGGUUUCCUCUGCAGCCUGAGGUCGGGAAGGACGGACGGAGAGUGGAUCCUCCAGGUGGUGGGAAAAGGUGAGCGUGGCGGGCUGGGCCAUGACGAAGCUGCCAUUUCCCGGGCCCAUGGGGGCUGUGGUGCUCCUGGGCCCCCAGCCCCGCCCUUGGGGGGAAGAAGCCGUGGGGUGGAGGAAGGUAUCGGGGCGCGACCCUCAGAGACGCCCUGGCGGCGCCCCGGCCUGGGCGCUGGAAAGUCAGAGUGGGGCAGGAGGAGGCGCAACAGGACUGGCCUGGCGGGGAGGCGGGGAGGCGGGAGGACCCUCCCUCCCCACGGACACGCGCGCUGCUGUACGCUCUGCCUGACCUCGGCCGGCUCCACUGGCCAGCUCCACGUACUGAAAUACUCACAUCCAAUGCACUGUGCGGUUGCCCAUCCACAGCUUAACAGCCUGGUGCCAGUUACCCUGCGAUGGGAGAGGGGGCAGCCCCCAUAGAAGCACGGGCUUAUGGGACCCGGGUUCCUUCAGUGCUCACCCACGAAGAAGGGCUCCCAAACGGCCCCACUCGACGGCUCACCGGAGGAUGGUCCUGCGCAGUGGGUGUUUGUUGAACAGAUAAGAGACAACAAAACAGACUAAGAAGAGGCCUGUUCUAUGAACCGGGGAAAGUGAAGGAAUCACAAAGAGCGGCUCGCCUUAGGGCAAUCCUGGGGAAAAGAUGGAGAGGCAUGGAUUUUUCUUGGAUGUGUGCCUCAUCCUGGGGCUCAUCCCUCUGAGCAUCAAAUAUUCAUUGCAAAAGAGGGGGAAAAACUCUGCUGCGGACAAUGCUGGAUGGUCUGAUCUCUCCCUUGGCCAGAAUUAACGGGGCAAUUCCUAACCCCUGUUGGUCCUCAGAAUCACCUGGCCUAUGCACACUCCCGCUAAACCACUGAAGUCCAAUUUCUGGGAGCUCAGCCAGGGAAUGUGUAUUUUUAAACAAGCCCCCUAGGUUACUCUGAUAAGUGCAAAGUCAGAGAGCGCUGCUCUCAUGCACUGAGCCUGAGCACUCUUCUAUUAAUAAAAAAGGAGAGGAGAAUCCUGGGUUGGGUGCCCUUCGCCUUCUGGCGGCAGAAGAGCAGAGCCAGGCUCUAAGCACCUGCACCCACCGCUGGGCUCAGGAGCUGCGCUGGAGAAUAGAAGGGCUAAUUUAGUCAUUCAUGCCUUUUUAGAGCAAAUUACAUGUGGAGAGGGUGGGGCACACUGAAUUUUAUUUUAGCCAAAUGCCCCUUAUCUCCUUAUGCAAUUGAUAUUUUUAUAUUGAACAUUAGAGGAUUGGUCAUUUGUCAUCAAGUCGUCUGUAAUACAGAAAACGAUAAAUACAACCUAACAGUUCAAACAUGACGAGUUAAAUAAAUGAUGGUUAAAAAUAUACGCUGCGAUAAUAUUUAAUUGCUGUUACCACUACGAAGAUAAGUGUCGACUGACAUGGAAAUAUGUUCAGGUCAAACAAAUAAAUGAAAAGGCA